CACGUCCUACGGGGGGCAGCAGUGGGGAAUAUUGCACAAUGGGGGAAACCCUGAUGCAGCGACGCCGCGUGAGUGAGGAAGUAUUUCGGUAUGUAAAGCUCUAUCAGCAGGGAAGAAAAUGACGGUACCUGAUUAAGAAGCCCCGGCUAACUACGUGCCAGCAGCCGCGGUAAUACGUAGGGGGCAAGCGUUAUCCGGAUUUACUGGGUGUAAAGGGAGCGCAGACGGCAGUGCAAGUCUGGAGUGAAAGCCCGGGGCCCAACCCCGGAACUGCUCUGGAAACUGUGCGGCUAGAGUACUGGAGG
rnacentral:rRNA from 1 species